AACGAACGCUGGCGGCAUGCCUAACACAUGCAAGUCGAACGAGACCUUCGGGUCUAGUGGCGCACGGGUGCGUAACGCGUGGGAACCUGCCCUUAGGUUCGGAAUCACUCCCCGAAAGGGGUGCUAAUACCGGAUAAUGUCUUCGGACCAAAGAUUUAUCGCCUUUGGAUGGGCCCGCGUUGGUUUAGCUAGUUGGUAGGGUAAACGCCUACCAAGGCGACGAUCCAUAGCUGGUCUGAGAGGAUGAUCAGCCACACUGGGACUGAGACACGGCCCAGACUCCUACGGGAGGCAGCAGUGGGGAAUAUUGGACAAUGGGCGAAAGCCUGAUCCAGCAAUGCCGCGUGAGUGAUGAAGGCCUUAGGGUUGUAAAGCUCUUUUACCCGGGAUGAUAAUGACAGUACCGGGAGAAUAAGCUCCGGCUAACUCCGUG
rnacentral:rRNA from 1 species